AUUAAAGGUAAUGAUGCAGUUACACAAUGAAUUCUAACUGUACUAUACGUGUACUUGGCACUUUGUGUGGUAUGAUUUAAAAAAGGAUGGAGGAGAGACAGGUAAAUACCGAGUGAUGCCGUAUGCUGGGUUCUUGGAAUUCCCACAUUUUUGGGAAUUAGUCCUACACAGGUAUCACAGUAAUCACAGCCUCAGUCUGUAUUAGUACAUGACAGAGCGAGCACUGAGGGGAAUGAGCAUCUGUCUGCAGUCAGCUCAUGAACAACUUUCUAUUGCCCAGAUUUUGUGGGUUUGAGUUUUAUCUGGACGGUUCCUUAGCAACCUUAUUUGUUUUCACUGACUGCUUUCUGGGUUUGACUGUGAUGGAUUUCCCGCCCCCACUCAUGUGGUUGUAGCUGGGGAGGGUUAGAAGAGAGCCUGAAGAGAGGGAAGUCAGGCACCAGCCAUAGCUGGUACAGCACUGACUGCUGUGUUGUCCAGCCAGCAAAAACAAACAAACAAACCAAAAGCUGAGGACUGUUGCUUAUUCCAGAUGCUGUCAAAUUGAAGGAAACUAGAGCAGAAUUGUUAGAGACAUUUUCAAUAUUAAAGAGAAGGAAGUGGAAAAAAUGUGAGCUAUAUAUAAUGACAUAGCCAUACAUAAUCCAUGUGAGCAUGUGUACUAUGGGUGGUGCAAAUAGUCCUCCUGUGUCUCCAUCGCAGUUUGUCUCCUCUUGGACGCUGCCAAAGUACCUCGAAGUAAGGCUGAUACAUCCCUGAGAAACAGAUCAGCUGUAACAGAAGUCAUGUUCCCUAAAAUCUUACAAGGAAAAGAAGACAGAAGGCACCUGAAUAUGAAGCCUGUGUAGGAUUCCCUUCUAAACUGAUGGAUGUUCAAAGGAAACAACCUGACUGGUGCCGUAGAGGAAGAAUAACUCUGCUGUCAUGCAUUUAUGCACAAUAACAAGGAAGAGCCAACAAAGGUGUUUUGAGGGACUGAGGCACUUAGUGAGAUGGUCUGAACAAACUGAAAUGAGGAAUUAGGAGUCAAACUCCGAAGCCAGAGUUCAGGAGCCAGAGCCAAGGGCAGGAGGAAGAGCUGUCCUGUCCACCGCUGUGUUGGAGAUGUAGAUCACACAAGGAAAUCUGCAGGAAAGGCCUAAGCAGGCUCUUCCACCCUAUCCUCCAUCCCUGGAUGCUAUGGAGCUGUGCUAUGAAUAAGGCUUUUUGAGCUGUGUUGAAUGCUUUUGUUUAAUGAACUUGAAUAAAAUAUGAGGUUGUGUUUGCUCUAGUCUGAGCAUGAGCAGAAGUACAAGGGAACUGUGUGGUAGUGUGUUAUGUUUGGAAAGCUUCACUACUUCCUCACACGGUCCCCAGCUCCUCUGAAGACAGAUUCAGUUGUUCUCUUCAGUUAUGAAAAAUACUUUAAAUCUACUUUGGACUCCACCAGCCCUCUGUUGCUGUUUUCAGGAGCAGAAGCCAGAUGACUGAAAUCAGAAUCCUUCUGGUCUUCCAAGUCUUCUCUUGGGCAUUGACUUGGAAGAUGGGAAAAGGAGAAAUCAGAACUUGUGAAUUACAUCUGCAAAAACAAUGUUGAAGACUGUCUGAAAACUGACACAUACAGGAAUUGUUUUCCUGCAGGUCGCAGAGGAGUGUUGAGCAGUUUCUUACUGUGCUGAGUAAAAUCCAAGGGAAACCCUUAAUGAGAACAAGCGUUCCUGUUUUUGUCUGGAGGAUCAUUACUCCUCUUUUGUAUUUUGUGCUUGCCAAGAAGUACUUGUGCGAUGAAAGUGGUUUGUUGUUUUAUACUGAUGGUUUGGGUGUGGGAUGUGGGAAUUCCUGCAUCUAGGUUCUGGGGACCAGAAAAUCCAACUCAGCUCGCUGCUGUGGGAGAGAUCUUAAUGGGACCAUGAAAGAUCAGCAGAUGUUUAAACAACGAUAUCUACAGGAUGAAUGUUUGUAAGCGAUAUGAACCUUCCUUUUACAAGCACGCUGACAUUUUGUAGACUGCAAUGAGGAAAGAGCUGUGAGGAAAAUGGAACUUCUGGGAAUUGCAACAUUUUCAGACCUCGUGGUGUUUCUAAUCAGAACGAAAAGCCAGAACUUCUCACUGAAAGAAAAUUCUGUGGAUAGGAGUCCUGGGGAUAGCUGAUUUGUGGCAAUGGAAACAUUUUGUGCCUUUGUAUUCCGAAUAAUGUGCUCAUAGUGCAAACAGCAACGCUAAUAUUUUUAAAUUGAAGAAAUUCAGGUGAAAAUUCGAAGUACAGCACUUAUGUCACAAGACCAAAACCACAAGCAUGCUCAACUCGCAUCAAGAGUUCUUUUGAUCUGAUGUGACACGAUUUAGAGAUGGGCUUUUCCAAAGAUAGAUUUAGCCAGAUGUGGAAAAUAAACUGCAUUGUCUGAGGUAGCACUGAGCUGCAUUUGUCUAUCACUCUGGAAUUUAAAACGAGGAUAAGUGUCCUGUGCUUUGGAUAAGAGUAAGAAAAUAGGGAGAAAAUCAGCAUAGUUCUAUUUCAAUACCUCUGCCAUUAUUUCAUAGUAUAGGGAAAGUUGCAGUUUAUAAAGUUCCCGAGCUGGAGAUGAUCUCCUGUUUGCUGAGGGCUUUUUUUUUUUUUUUUUUUUUUUUAUUACCAGAUAUUUUUUUUUGUGACUUUGUCUACUGGUUUGUUAAGUUUAUCAUUUUGGCAUCUUAAAUAUUUUGUAUUGACUAGUUCUAUAAUUUAGCUUUGUUGAGUGAAAUAGUAAUUUUUGGGUUAACCUUGAUGCUCAAUGGUUCUCUUGGAGGUCCCUUAGCUCUUCUAUUUGAAAGUUAGCAGAUAAACAUUUCCUUUUGCCUGUUUCAUGCCAGUCAUGACUUAAUAGGCCUUAGUUUUCUUAGUGAUUUCUUUCCCAAGCUGUAAGGUUCUGAUUAAUUUAAAUGCUUCUCACUCAAACGCAGUAUCAAAUUGCUGAUUUGUCCUCUUUGUACUUUUCCUAGUUCUGCAGCAUUCUUCCUGACAAUGUGGUGAAUAGGAUCGUAUGCAUUAUCGUAGAUGUUGCUGCAAGACUAAUUAAGACAAGCAACAAUGUAUUUUGAUUUUUCUCUUCUUAAUAAUGAUUAAUGUUCUAUAAGCAUGUUAGAUAAUAUUGUUUAGUGAAGGAAAUAUUGUUUAGAGAAGGAAACAAAGCAAGUCCAGGAUCUCUCUUCUCUGGUGAGCCUUCUGAUGAAAAUAGCCUACUAGAAAUCACUAUUUUACAUACUUAGAAGAAGGGUUUUUUUGUCAUUUAAGUUUCUCAGUACUGAAUACAACCUACUAGUUUUCCUUCUGGUUGCUGGGUAUAUUCAAGUUCUUCCACAGUUUGCAAUUUGAUUUAUGUUGGACCUUUCUAUAUUUUUAAUAGACUUUAUCCAUGUUCUGUGGAAUAUUUGUCAGGUCCUGUGAUUUGGCAACGCUGACCGAUGCUCUGUGAAAAUUUGCUGAUGAUGCUGUUGGUGUUGUAGAGACCAGCAUCACCUGCAAGAAUAUCCAGAUGACCCUUUUGAGAAUGCUAUUUUAAUGCCAGUCAAAUUGAAUUAACUGUUGCCCUUCCUGGAGCGAGGCUGAGCAGCACCAUGCACUGUGUGCAGAGUUGGCUGCAAGCUGCAUUGUCCUGCUUUCACGUCACACCAUCUCUUAUGCUCGAAUCCACUUCCAAAUUUAGCCACACAGAUGAAGAAAUGAAUUGCAGGCACAGAUCAUUC
ensembl:lncRNA